rnacentral:tRNA from 1 species
ACCUAAAUAGCUUAUGUUAGAGCAUAACACUGAAGAUGUUAAGGAAAUAAUUUAUUUUUAGGUA